rnacentral:rRNA from 1 species
CCUACGGGAGGCAGCAGUGGGGAAUUUUGCGCAAUGGGGGAAACCCUGACGCAGCAACGCCGCGUGGAGGAUGACGUAUCUUGGCAUGUAAACUCCUUUCGAUCGGGACGAUAAUGACGGUACCGAGAGAAGAAGCCCCGGCUAACUUCGUGCCAGCAGCCGCGGUAAUA